rnacentral:misc_RNA from 1 species
GUACAUUAGUGCUUGCGCACGACAAUAUAUUUCAUUACAUUCGAGUUUGUAUGUAAAAUCCUCUGCCCGCCGAAGCUAGCAAGAGGCCAAAGGUUCACAGGGGUAUUGGAAUGAAAGCCACCGACGUGCACUUGCAGGAGCCAGCACAGAAGGCAACAGUUUACAAUCAAUAAUGAUCCUUCCGCAGGUUCACCUACGGAAA